rnacentral:rRNA from 1 species
AGUGAACGCUGGCGGUAGGCCUAACACAUGCAAGUCGAACGGCAGCACAGUAAGAGCUUGCUCUUACGGGUGGCGAGUGGCGGACGGGUGAGGAAUACAUCGGAAUCUACUUUUUCGUGGGGGAUAACGUAGGGAAACUUACGCUAAUACCGCAUACGACCUACGGGUGAAAGCAGGGGAUCUUCGGACCUUGCGCGAUUGAAUGAGCCGAUGUCGGAUUAGCUAGUUGGCGGGGUAAAGGCCCACCAAGGCGACGAUCCGUAGCUGGUCUGAGAGGAUGAACAGACAGACUGGAACUGAGACACGGUCCAGACUCCUACGGGAGGCAGCAGCGGGGAAUAUUGGACAAUGGGCGAAAGCCGGAUCCAGGCAUACCGCGUGGGUGAAGAAGGCCUUCGGGUUGUAAAGCCCUUUUGUUGGGAAAGAAAAGCAGCAGGUUAAUACCCCGCUGUUCUGACGGUACCCAAAGAAUAAGCACCGGCUAACUUCGUG